rnacentral:lncRNA from 1 species
AUGCCUGGUUGUUCUCACCGAUUUCGCAAGUUGGGAGGUGUGAUGAGCCUGGGAUAUUCAUCUUCAACAGAAACGAUCCAGAUAAGCUCUUCAUUCAAACAGGGUUUGGGCUGCACUGCAAUUUUGUUGUCAAAUUGGAUUUGGAGGUGCUCAGGUUUAGUGAGCACCUCCGUGGGAAAGAGAACUCCGUUGGAUGGUAAGAUCUUUGUGUUUGGAGAUGAGCAGAUGACGACUGGGAUACUGGAGAUUUUGAAUGUGCACCCGGCUGAGAAGACCACACCAAUGGGCCUAUAUGCAGAAUUCAAGGUGAAAACUGCUUUGGAUGGUAGUAGUUGACACUGUUUGCAAAACCAGAAGCUGACGGUGGCUCUGCUGGUCAUCCAGAAGCCUCCAGGAAGUCAUAGCUACGUCUCAUUUCUCCUCUGACUGUUCAAAUGACCUCUUUUACAAAAAUACUUCUCUACUUAAUCUACCCUCUCUCUCCAAUUGUCUAAACCCCACUUUACUUCUUAGAAUUAUUGACCAUAGGAUCUGAAAGGAAUUGUAUAGAUUAUUUCAUCCAACCUUCUUAUUUCAUUAAUGAGGAAACUGAGAGUCUAAAAGGUUAAAAUAAGACCAGAAUCCAAGUAUUUCAAGUCUUCUUUCAAUCUUGUAAUGUUUGAUUUUGUUAAAUAUGUAUCCCAUAGCUACACUGAAUGCUUUUUACUUUGGAUUCUUCUCCAUCCCCUACUAUGCCUUACUCAGGGCUUGUUCAUAGCAAAUAAAUGUCUGAUCAGCAGUUGACUGGUAAUGGCUGCCUGGAGUGCUGUCCUGAGGAGGAGCCAGUGGAAUAGAUCUCAUGGUUUCUCUCCAAAUGUGACCUCUACUGAGAUAACUUUGACCACCCUAGCUAAAAAGUGUUCUCUCUCCCCCAUUCCCUCAGGCACACACUAUCCCCUUUCCUUGCCUAAUUGUAUUUCCUUGCCUAAUUGUAUCCUAUCACCACUCAUUAUCUAAAAUUAUUUUUCUUGUCUAUUGCCUUUUUUCCCCAUGAGAAUGUAAGUUCCAAGAGGGCAAGGACUUUGUUUAUCUUGUCCACUGCAGGAUCUGCUGUGUUUGUUAGAGUGCUGACAUGUAGGAAUCACUCAAUAAAUAAUUGUGGAGUAGAUGGCCAAAUGCUGUAAUUGGUGAUGUCUGCCAUGGGCAAUGGAGAGACAAAUUACCAGGGUCAAUGCAAAGCUUUUGUCACUGGUGUUUAUUGGCCAACCAACCAAUCCCAGAUGCAAGACUGGUUUCCUUUUGACAUUCAAUUUGAUGCUGGGCCAUUGUGGGAUAACCAGUUAUUAGGUACUCUGGAAGGAAGAAUUCCCAGAAUCACUAGUUAGGCAACUGAAAAGAAGAAAGGCAUAUUUUCUGCUAUCUCUUCUCCUCAUUGUCUUAUUCGUCAUGACACUUCUACAAUGUUGCAGAAUUCUUAGCACAUAGUAGGUGCACAAUAAAUAUUUGUUCACUGACAAUUUGUGCUUUCUCAAUGUCAUUUU